UACGUAGGGGGCGAGCGUUUGUCCGGAAUUAUUGGGCGUAAAGAGCUCGUAGGCGGCUUAGUAAGUCGGCGGUGAAAUACCGAGGCUCAACCUCGGCACUGCCGUCGAUACUGCUAUGGCUAGAGUUUGGUAGAGGAGAACGGAAUUCCCGGUGUAGCGGUGGAAUGCGCAGAGUAUCGGGAGGAACACCCGUAGCGAAGGCGGUUCUCUGGGCCAAUACUGACGCUGGAGGAGCGAAAGCAUGGGGGAGCGAACAGG
rnacentral:rRNA from 1 species